rnacentral:rRNA from 1 species
CGGAGAAUUUUAUUUCGGUAGAAUUCUUAGUGGCGAACGGGUGAGUAACGCGUAGGCACCUGCCCUUUAGACGGGGACAACAUUCCGAAAGGAGUGCUAAUACCGGAUGUGGCCGCAUGGCGAAAGAUGGCCUUCAAGAAGCUAUCGCUAAAGGAUGGGCCUGCGUCUGAUUAGCUAGUUGGUAGUGUAACGGACUACCAAGGCGAUGAUCAGUAGCCGGUCUGAGAGGAUGAACGGCCACAUUGGGACUGAGACACGGCCCAAACUCCUACGGGAGGCAGCAGUGGGGAAUCUUCCGCAAUGGACGAAAGUCUGAGGGACCACCGCCGCGUGAGUGAUGAAGGAUUUCGGUCUGUAAAGCUCUGUUGUUUAUGACGAAGUGCAGUGUGUGAACAAUGCAUUGCAAUGACGGUAGUAAACGAGGAAGCCACGGCUAACUACGUGCCAGCAGCCGCGGUAAUACGUAGGUGGCGAGCGUUGUCCG